rnacentral:lncRNA from 1 species
AAAAGAAAAAGAAAAAACCUGGUAUAGAAAUCCUUGGAUGGGGAGUAACUUGUUCUAUGAGUGUUCUGUAAGGUGAGAAAACAUUUCUAAUAAAUUUUAAUUUGAUAACCGAGUGAUAUCUUACAAUACAAGUACCCCAUGAUGCUGAAUGUCACAGGGUCACCUCUGAGCCAAUGGCUCUCUUCCUUACCGCAAGAUUGUGGGUUAUCGUCUCCCACCAGCAAGAGGAGCUCUCAUCAUCAUCGGAGGAGGAGGAGGAGGAGGAGGAGAAAAAGAUUUCAAGACAGGUGGCGAACCCACUGAGCUAAAACCCCGGCCCAUGACAAGAUUUCAAUAAGAAGACAGAAGGCCACUGUGCUCCUUUUUGGAAGAUCUGGUCAAGUAGACAAGGGCAUUUUGCUGAAAGCAUCUCCCUGGGCUGGAGAAGCCAGGCAAGGUCAGCGUUACCUGGAGUCUGAGGCAGCUUCUAAGAUUUCUCAGCAUUCCACAGCACCAGUCUUGGGCGUACCAUUUUCUAGACCCCAACAAUACACCCAC